rnacentral:rRNA from 1 species
AGAGUUUGAUCCUGGNCUCAGAUUGAACGCUGGCGGCAUGCUUUACACAUGCAAGUCGAACGGUAACGCGGGGGCAACCCUGGCGACGAGUGGCGAACGGGUGAGUAAUACAUCGGAACAUGUCCUGGAGUGGGGGAUAGCUCGGCGAAAGCCGGAUUAAUACCGCAUACGCUCUGAGGAGGAAAGCGGGGGACCUUUCGGGGCCUCGCGCUGCAGGAGUGGCCGAUGUCGGAUUAGCUAGUUGGUGGGGUAAAGGCCCACCAAGGCGACGAUCCGUAGCUGGUCUGAGAGGAUGAUCAGCCACACUGGGACUGAGACACGGCCCAGACUCCUACGGGAGGCAGCAGUGGGGAAUUUUGGACAAUGGGGGCAACCCUGAUCCAGCCAUGCCGCGUGAGUGAAGAAGGCCUUCGGGUUGUAAAGCUCUUUCGGACGGAACGAAAUGGUUACGGUGAAUAUCCGUGACUGAUGACGGUACCGUAAUAAGAAGCACCGGCUAACUACGUGCCAGCAGCCGCGGUAAUACGUAGGGUGCGAGCGUUAAUCGGAAUUACUGGGCGUAAAGCGUGCGCAGGCGGUUCGCCAAGUCAGGUGUGAAAUCCCCGGGCUUACCUGGGAAUUGCGCUUGAAACUAGCGGGCUUAAUUUGGCAAAGGGGGGUGGANUCCACGUGUANCANUGAAAUGCGUAAAAAUNUGANGAACACCNAUGGCNAAGGCAGCCCCU